GAACAAGAUGAUGAUCGUGAUUGUGUUUCCCUAUUGGUUUGAUUGCCAAAAUGAUGGCUUCAUACUUCUUGUUGCUCUAUCUGAGCGUUC